GUACGGGAGGCAGCAGUGAGGAAUAUUGGUCAAUGGGCGCAAGCCUGAACCAGCCAUCCCGCGUGAAGGAAGAAGGCGCUAUGCGUUGUAAACUUCUUUUUCAGGGGAAGAAUGUUGGGUACGUGUACCCAAUUGCCGGUACCCUGUGAAUAAGCAUCGGCUAACUCCGUGCCAGCAGCCGCGGUAAUACGGAGGAUGCGAGCGUUAUCCGGAUUUAUUGGGUUUAAAGGGUGCGUAGGCGGAUUGAUAAGUCAGUGGUGAAAUCCUGCAGCUUAACUGUGGAAUUGCCGUUGAUACUGUCAGUCUUGAGUAUGGUUAAGGUAGGCGGAAUGUGUAAUGUAGCGGUGAAAUGCUUAGAUAUUACACAGAACACCGAUUGCGAAGGCAGCUUACUGAACCAUAACUGACGCUGAGGCACGAAAGCGUGGGGAGCGAACAGGAUUAGAUACCCCGGUAGC
rnacentral:rRNA from 1 species